GGAUCUAGUAGACUGUAAACAGAGGCACAGACUGAGGAACAUUUUGUCACGGUCCUGGGUCGGUGAUCCAGUGUUUUUGGUUGCUGUGCUUUUUACUUUUGAUUUUUGUAUUAUGACUCUUGUGUUUCGGUUUCCCGGAGUUUAGUUGUGUUCCCUCUGUUGGUGUUAUCCCUGCCUGUCUGUCCCCUUUUGGGUAGUAAGGUCUCUGUGUUUAGUUCGCGGUUUUAAGUCUGUGUCUUCACGUGUGUUUUGAGUUUCCUGUUUUACUUUGUAGGUCCCUGUCUGUUGUCAGUGCAUUCUGUUCACGUUUUCCCUGCCUCGUCAGCCUAACUUCUCCCAGCUGUGUCUCCCUCCUGCUUCCCGUUCGUUGAUUAUCCUCCUACAGACACAGAGGACUGAUGACAGAGAAGAAGCAGAGGAUUUUCUCUAUUUCUACACAGACCUGGUCCAGACGGCAGAGAGCUGCAGAGUGAAGACGUUCAUGUGAAGAAGCUGAGUGAAGGUAGAAAGUGUGUGUGAGCUGAUGUGAAUUGAGCAG